UGUAAGCGUAUACCAAAGUUGUUGCAGUUAAAACGCUCGUAGUCGGACUUUGGCAGUUCCGGAUGUGUGCACGUCGUGUGCGCACUUCGCGGGGAUUGCUUUUGUGGUCUUGCGUAGGAUGAGGCACUUUUAUUAGUGAACGUCCUUACGCAACCACUUUUUACUGUGAGAAAAUCAGAGUGCUCAAAGCAGGCAUUUGCCGUGAAUGUAUUAGCAUGGAAUAAUAGAAUAGGACUUGGUUCUAUUUUGUUGGUUUGUUGGGACUGAGUAAUGAUUAAGAGGGACAGUUGGGGGCAUUUGUAUUUCGGUGCUAGAGGUGAAAUUCUUAGAUUACCGAAAGACAAACUGCUGCGAAAGCGUCUGCCAAGGAUGUUUUCAUUGA
rnacentral:rRNA from 1 species